rnacentral:lncRNA from 1 species
UCCCUCAUGUCUUUUGUCACCCGGACUCCAAAAAGAAGGACCAGUCGUCUUAUAGGUCUCACUGUGUGACUGUGGCUGGCCUCAAACUCACAGAGAUUUGUCUGCCUCAGCCUCCGGAGUACUGGGGUUAAAGGCAUGUACCACCACCACCACUUGACUUAAAAAUUUGCUGUUUUUAAAGACUUAAGUUGCUGACAUUUUUCUGAACGUAUAUAAACACACCAGGGACAGAUGAUUCCAGAUGUUGGUGGAGGAAGCACUUUAUCCAGAAUGUCUUCAACUGUACAUUACUUUAAUUGACUCCACCUUGUUUUUGUUUUUAAGACUAGCAAGGUGUUUGCUGAAGGGUGGCAUUGCCCAGAGGCUCAGGCGAGUCCCAGAGCUCACGCACCGAUGUCUGUGACCACCACCGUGGCAGAAGUCCUCCUACAAAGCUGACGAAGCCGUGAGGGUUUUGUUAGUUUGCUGGGCGGGGAUUGAGCCCACAGCCUUGUACAUGCUAGACACUACCACUGAGCUCACCUACACAUCUCACUAUGUUAUGUAGGCUCAAGCGAUCCUCCUGUCUCAGCUUCCUGAGUGUUGGGACUUCGGGUGUGCGCUGCCACACACCCGACCAGGUAGUUUUAAUAUCUGCCAUUUAUGAGGUAGAGUUUUACACAGGAUUUAGGACUAUCUUAAACCUGUUCCUUAGGUUGCUUUGUUAAGGAAUAGCCUGGACAUCCGGUGUUUAGCACUAAAGCCAUUAUGUAUGCGCC